rnacentral:misc_RNA from 1 species
UGCUGGUCAAUCAAAUCAAUUUGCCGCUGAAGCUUCUCUAUUGUCCAUAUCAAGUGCAGAACAUCAAAAUCUAAGCUUGAGAUGGUAGGCACUGGUGCUGGUGAGAGGGAAACUUUAAUUCCCUCUAUAAAUUCCUUCUUAUUAACUGAGAGAUAUUGAGCUUUCCCUUGUCCAGACAAAUAACUCAAAACUGCAGAUGCUUCAUUUGGUCCUCCACCCAUGUCCUGGAACUUCCUCAUGGUAACAAU